ACCCGCUGAACUUAAGCAUAUUACUAAGCGGAGGAAAAGAAAUCAACGAAGAUUGCCUCAGUAGCGGCGAGUGAAGCGGCAAUAGCUCAAGUUUAGAAUCUGUGAUCGUCUCGGUCGCCGAAUUGUAAUCUAAAGGGGCUAACAAAAGGGGAUGUGGAGGCAUAAGUUCCUUGGAAAAGGACGUCAAAGAGGGUGAAAACCCCGUAUGUAGCCUCAACUGAACCGAAUGUUGACCUUCUGAGAGUCGGGUUGUUUGGGAUUGCAGCCCUAAAUGGGAGAUAAACUUCUUCUAAGGCUAAAUAUUUAUGGGAAACCGAUAGCGAACAAGUACUGUGAAGGAAAGGUGAAAAGAACUUUGAAAAGAGGGUUAAAAGACUUGAAAUCGUUGAGAAGGAAGCAGUAGAAGUGGAUUUAAGUUAGUCAUGAAGCAAGCUAUGUAAGGAACCAGCUCGUAGUAGUUUCGGUACGUCAUUGGCUACCUGCUACGAAGUAAUGGCACUUUAUGGCGAUUUCAUGACUAAAGGGCAGAACCAGGU
rnacentral:rRNA from 1 species